rnacentral:piRNA from 1 species
UUGUUAUAUUUAUUACUGUAAAAU